AGAGUUUGAUCCUGGCUCAGAAUGAACGCUGGCGGCGUGCCUAACACAUGCAAGUCGAACGAGAAAUUUCCGCUUCGGUGGAGAAAGUAAAGUGGCGCGCGGGUGAGUAACGCGUGGGUAACCUGCCUUUGAAUCUAGGAUAACCCCGUGAAAACGGGACUAAUACUGGAUAAUGUCCCUUUGGCUGUGGCCAUAGGGAUGAAAGGUGACCUCUUCAUGAAAGUUGCCGUUCAAAGAGGGGCCCGCGUACCAUUAGCUUGUUGGUGGGGUAACGGCCUACCAAGGCUACGAUGGUUAGCUGGUCUGAGAGGAUGAUCAGCCACACUGGAACUGGAACACGGUCCAGACUCCUACGGGAGGCAGCAGUGAGGAAUUUUGCGCAAUGGGGGAAACCCUGACGCAGCAACGCCGCGUGAGUGAUGAAGAUUUUCGGAUCGUAAAGCUCUGUCAAGCGGGAAAAAAAUCUUUCGGUUAAUACCCGGAAGAACUGAUGGUACCGCUGGAGGAAGCACCGGCUAACUCCGUGCCAGCAGCCGCGGUAAUACGGAGGGUGCAAGCGUUGUUCGGAUUUACUGGGCGUAAAGAGCGUGUAGGUGGUUUAGCAAGUCAGAUGUGAAAGCCCUGGGCUCAACUCAGGAAGUGCAUUUGAAACUACUAUUCUAGAGUAUGGGAGAGGAGAGUGGAAUUCCCAGUGUAGAGGUGAAAUUCGUAGAUAUUGGGAGGAACACCGGUGGCGAAGGCGACUCUCUGGACCAAUACCGACACUGAGACGCGAAAGCGUGAGGAGCAAACAGGAUUAGAUACCCUGGUAGUCCACGCCGUAAACGAUGAGAACUAGGUGUAGCGGGUAUUGACCCCUGCUGUGCCGCAGCUAACGCAUUAAGUUCUCCGCCUGGGGAGUACGGCCGCAAGGUUAAAACUCAAAGGAAUUGACGGGGGCCCGCACAAGCGGUGGAGCAUGUGGUUUAAUUCGAUGCAACGCGAAGAACCUUACCAGCCCUUGACAUCCUCGGAAUCCAGCGGAGACGUUGGAGUGCCUUCGGGAGCCGAGUGACAGGUGCUGCAUGGCUGUCGUCAGCUCGUGUCGUGAGAUGUUGGGUUAAGUCCCGUAACGAGCGCAACCCUUGUCCUUAGUUGCCAGCACAUAAUGGUGGGAACUCUAAGGAGACUGCCGGUGAUAAACCGGAGGAAGGUGGGGAUGACGUCAAGUCAUCAUGGCCCUUAUGGGCUGGGCUACACACGUGCUACAAUGGCCGGUACAGAGAGUUGCGAAGCGGCGACGUGGAGCCAAUCUCAGAAAACCGGUCGUAGUCCGGAUCGCAGUCUGCAACUCGACUGCGUGAAGUCGGAAUCGCUAGUAAUCGCGAAUCAGAAUGUCGCGGUGAAUACGUUCCCGGGCCUUGUACACACCGCCCGUCACACCAUGGGGGUUGGUUGCACCAGAAGUAGGUAGCUUAACCUUCGGGAGAGCGCUUACCACGGUGUGGUCAAUGACUGGGGUGAAGUCGUAACAAGGUA
rnacentral:rRNA from 1 species